CUUGGUCAUUUAGAGGAAGUAAAAGUCGUAACAAGGUCUCCGUUGGUGAACCAGCGGAGGGAUCAUUACAGGACUCGCAAGACUCCUACAACCCUGUGAACUUCACUAUAAGCACGUUGCUUCGGCGGGUGUCGCGGCGCGGGUCUUCCCGCACCGGGGCGCUAAGCCCGCCGGCAGCCUACUAUACUCUGUUUCUCUGCGUUGGCAUCUCGAGAAAAAACAAACAAGUUAAAACUUUCAACAACGGAUCUCUUGGUUCUGGCAUCGAUGAAGAACGCAGCGAAAUGCGAUAAGUAAUGCGAAUUGCAGAAUUCCGUGAGUCAUCGAAUCUUUGAACGCACAUUGCGCCCGCCAGCAUUCUGGCGGGCAUGCCUGUUCGAGCGUCAUUUCAACCCUCAGGCCCUGCCUGGCGUUGGAGGACUGCGCACGCAGCCUCCCAAAGCGAGCGGCGGCGGCGCCCCGAAACCGAACGCAGUAGUUACCCCUCGUUCUGGGUCCGGGUCGUUGUCCUGCCGGAAAACCCCCAUCUCAUCAAUGGUUGACCUCGAAUCAGGUAGGAAUACCCGCUGAACUUAAGCAUAUCAAUAAGCGGAGGA
rnacentral:rRNA from 1 species